rnacentral:rRNA from 1 species
UACGUAGGUGGCAAGCGUUGUCCGGAUUUACUGGGCGUAAAGAGCGCGCAGGCGGUCGUUCAAGUCGCGUGUGAAAGCCCCCGGCUCAACUGGGGAGGGUCACGCGAUACUGAUCGACUCGAAGGCAGGAGAGGGUAGUGGAAUUCCCGGUGUAGUGGUGAAAUGCGUAGAUAUCGGGAGGAACACCAGUGGCGAAGGCGACUACCUGGCCUGUUCUUGACGCUGAGGCGCGAAAGCGUGGGGAUCAAACAGG